rnacentral:rRNA from 1 species
AUUGAACGCUGGCGGCAGGCCUAACACAUGCAAGUCGAGCGGAGCGGCGGACGGGUGAGUAAUGUAUGGGGAUCUGCCCGAUAGAGGGGGAUAACUACUGGAAACGGUGGCUAAUACCGCAUACUAUCGGAUGAACCUAGGUCGGAUUAGCUAGUUGGUGGGGUAAAGGCCUACCAAGGCGACGAUCCGUAACUGGUCUGAGAGGAUGAUCAGUCACACUGGAACUGAGACACGGUCCAGACUCCUACGGGAGGCAGCAGUGGGGAAUAUUGGACAAUGGGCGAAAGCCUGAUCCAGCCAUGCCGCGUGUGUGAAGAAGGUCUUCGGAUUGUAAAGCACUUUAAGUUGGGAGGCGUUACCAACAGAAUAAGCACCGGCUAACUUCGUGCCAGCAGCCGCGGUAAUAC